ensembl:lncRNA
CUCCCUUUCGCUGUCUCUCAGGUUUGGUACCGAGUGCCACCCGUGAUCUAAGUCACAAAAAAACUAGCCUGUUGGGGGCUUGCUGUUCUUAAUUUCUGGGGCAGCCACGUAAAGAGGGACGGGGGAGAGACGCAGGUUUUUUUCCCUCUCCCCGCCUUACCACUGCCCCUUUGCCCCUUUCUCCCCGCACCCUCCGACUGGCACCCCCACCUCGCGGGGCGGAUGGGACGCUUUGGCGCGCGUCACUCCGCGCUGGCGUGGACGAGCCAGUGCGCGGUGCCAGGCAGGCGCCGGCCGGACGUCGGGGGCUCCUUCUCCCCGCGAGCUGAGGGCCCUGGGCUCGGCUGGGAUCCAGCCCGCGCCAGACCGAGACUCGAAGGAGGCGAGCCCAGGUGUGAGAGCGGAGGGAAAGAUCCAGGUAUAAUAUUUAAAUGGCGGUCAUAGAAAAGGAGUUUUAGUUUGGAGGCACACAAUAAAAAUAACAUCUAAAAAACAACAACAACAAAACCCCCACAUCUAAAUGCAAUAAAACUGUACCAACGGGUUUGAAGAAGUUAAACUAGAGAUUGGUAUGGGACCUUGUCUGUAGCAAUUGAGCGGGAAGAACGCUACUUUCAGAAACACAGAUCUAGGACCAAAUAAUGCUAUAGUAGUGGAUUAGCUCUCCAUCUUUGCAAAUGCUUACUGAGUCCUUAGUCUCCAGCUCAUGCAACAGAGUUAUCAACUAUCAAUAUCAUCAUGACUGUUUUAAUUAUUUAAUGGAACCCACUGAAGUUGAUGAUGAGCUACCAAGAAAUUUCAGGAACACAGACAUGUCAGUCAGUGUGCCAUUUCUCCUGAAUCUUUUGUACCUAUACGUAUCUAAGAACCCAUUGUAAAAUGCAAAGCACAAAAAUAAAUACAAAUAAAGUUAGGGGA